rnacentral:rRNA from 1 species
GACGAACGCUGGCGGCGUGCUUAACACAUGCAAGUCGAACGGAAAGGCCCUGCUUUUGUGGGGUGCUCGAGUGGCGAACGGGUGAGUAACACGUGAGUAACCUGCCCUUGACUUUGGGAUAACUUCAGGAAACUGGGGCUAAUACCGGAUAGGAGCUCCUGCUGCAUGGUGGGGGUUGGAAAGUUUCGGCGGUUGGGGAUGGACUCGCGGCUUAUCAGCUUGUUGGUGGGGUAGUGGCUUACCAAGGCUUUGACGGGUAGCCGGCCUGAGAGGGUGACCGGCCACAUUGGGACUGAGAUAAGGCACAGACUCCUACGGGAGGCAGCAGUGGGGAAUAUUGAACAAUGGGCGGAAGCCUGAUGCAGCAACGCCGCGUGCGGGAUGACGGCCUUCGGGUUGUAAACCGCUUUCGCCUGUGACGAAGCGUGAGUGACGGUAAUGGGUAAAGAAGCACCGGCUAACUACGUG